UAUACUGCCCUGAUAACAAAGAAUGCAGUAAUCGACAUUUUUGGGAUUUUUACUUUUUGCAAGAAAUGGGAUCCCAAGGGGUUUAUUAACAUAAAAAAAAAAUAAUUUCAUAAAAAAAGUACCCGGAAGUAUGUUUUUUAGCUACCGAUUUUUGCAGUACUUACAUGAAAACUAUAUCAAUGAUAAGAAAAAGCGCCGUAUUAAACAUGUGCUAAAAAAUAAUGCAGUAAUUGUUAAUAUACCCUAAAACAAAGUGCAGUAAUAGCCAUUACUGUAACAUUUUAUUCUAGUGUCUGUAGACCAAUUGCUACGUCAAAACGCAGUUCUCCACAUUACUGCAUUUGUGUGUAGUAAAAGUUCGCGAGAUCGUAACCGUACGAUACAGUGCUGCGUUUUGUUGAAGCAAAUCUGUGCGUCGUCGUCGUUCGGUGAAGUGAGACGUGCGGCACGUGUGCUGCUCCGGCGCGCUGUUUGUUUUUUAAGGAACGAAAUUUUGAACAUUUUCUCUUCAUAAUGUCUGCCAAAAAUUCCCGCGGAAGAAGCAUGUUAGACAUGGUGCUGGGUAAGCUGGAUCGUCAAACAGAACCUUCUACUUCUACAGAAUUAAAUUCAAAUCAGAAAGAUGAAUCAUUUAGUCUGUUAUGUGAUGAAACCUUCCCAAGUUCUUUGAUGGAUAUAUCGCUAACAGAUGACAUUUGGAAUAGAAGAACCAUUCUACAAAAGGCCCCAAGAUAACAAUUUAUAUCAUGAAACACCUACAACUGAUUCCAGUCAUGCCGUAAAUAAUAAAUAUAGAGUCCGAAAAGUAUAUAUAUUGUUCCUACUAUUAAAUAAAUAUAUACAUGUCAGUUUAACUGAUGUUAAAAUAAAUGUUGUCUUAAUUAAACUAAAUUUUCUUCUA